rnacentral:lncRNA from 1 species
UGUCGUGUUAUUUUGAAAUCAACUGUGGUUUUUGAAAACGCGCCCUAAAGCUAUCCAAUUUCAACAGUUAAAAUAAGUAUUACCUAUCUUAGUAAUACAUAUUAAAACCAUAAAAAAUAAUUAAGCGGCCUUAUUACAUUUAAAAGCCCAAAAACUUCAACGUAAAUAAAAGGAUGUCCAGUUCACCAGAAGAAAAUCAAACUUUCAAAACGGGUGGCCACUCCGAAUUCCCUCACAGCUCCAAGCCCACUAUGGUUGGGGAUUUCCUGCGUGGAUGAAAAUAAAAGGGGUGAGUUUGGGGAAACUCAGUGUGUAAGGAAAACCCAUUCAAAGCCCAAGUCAGCUCAAGCCCAUUGGGCCUAAGCCCAUUCAGGUAACAGUGAUACUGGGCCAGAGCCCUUUUCAGAUUACAAUAAACUGGGCCUUAGCCCCUUAUUCAGAUAACAGUAUGGCCCAUAGGCCCAUUUCAAAAUAUAUGCAACAUCAAUAAACAUAUGCAAGCCCAUUUGGGGAGACUACUCAACCCACCAACCACUACACUCCACUCGUACCAACCAUACACUUCAUGUGAGGAAUAGCUCAACCCACCCAACCCAAGACUCCACAGUUGCAGCCUUGCUGCUCAGUUAACAGUAAAUUGAGGCAAAGCCUCCAGUAUGUGGACAAGCCAUUUUCAGUACUUCCUCCGUCAAUAUCCCAAUCCCAUGCAUCAGAUAAUAAAAACAUGGCAUGCAGUAAAUAAAAACAGUCAAACAUGCAUUUAGGUCAAUUUAACCCUAGGGGUAUUUCAGUAAUUUAUCUACUAGGGGUAAAACUGUAAAUUUUCCACUUUUAAAGGUAUUUCAGUAAUUUAUCUAUUUUAGGGUUUUUCAUGCAUAUUCCUACUUUUCACGUACUAACAGAAUCACGUACCGAGGGUUCUUACCGAAUUGGGCCCGUUGGACCAUCAUUCCAAUUUUGGCCCAUUAAGCCCAAAAAUAUCGAGGGCACAGAAAUCAUGCACUUUGCAGUCCAAACAUUGUAGCUUACAAAAAACAUUAAUCGAUUUACCUCACGAGCACUCGCACACUCGCAAAUCUACAAAAUACCGGUUUUCGGCAUUUCGGCUUUUCGGCUUUUGCCGAUCUAGACUAAGAAAGAGGGUGUUAGUUACACACCUGUUUGCGACGAUAUGCUGACGAUAUCCACACACGAACCGCCUACAAUUGGAUUACUAACACGUUAAUCUAACUAUUCAAAUACAAACUACGUAUUAACCCCUUACAAUAUUCGGCCAACCACACCUGUAGAUCAUAGUAAGCUUAUAAGAAAUCAAUAAGCAACUCAUUAACAAAUUUUUUGUCAAUGUUUACCACAUAAUCAUAAUUUCACUGCAAGCUGUCUUCCUGAGCAACAGUCACUAAAUUAUUUAUAACUGGAGCUAUAAAACUCCAAAUCAAGUGCCGUUAAUUUUCCCUGAAAAUAGACUCAUAUAUCUUAUAUCCAUAAAAUUUUCAGAAUUUUUGGUUUGGCCAAUCAAUACCAGAUUUUUCUCAAAAUUUCGCAUGUUUCACUGUUUGACUAAUCUGACCACUCUUCAUUACGAAUCAAAUUUCUCAUUGUACAGAAUUCAAAAUAUGUUCUUGUUUAUUUCAUUAGAAACUAGACUCAAUAAGCUUUAAUUACAUAAUUUAUUCCGCUUCUAAUUCAUCUCCCACAAUUUAUGGUGAUUUUCCAAAUUCACAUUACUGCUGCUGUCCCAAGCAGAUUUUUUACCAAAUCACUCUUUCACACAUACCUUGCAUGCAUGUUAUUUAAACAUGUAUAUCACCAAUCAAUCAUCACAUAUCUAUGAUUUUUCUUAAGUAUAAUCUCCAUUUCAUCAUUUUAAAGCACAACGUGUUAGCUGAUUUUUCCCUUUAACAUCUAAGGCACAUGCAUGCUCAUUUGUUUGGCUCAACUUUACCUAUCUUCCAAUUUUCAUCAAAAGAACAUGAAACAACAACUAUUUCCUUCAUUUUAACACAACUAAAAAUCAAAAUAUACUUCAAGAGUUAAGGUAGAAUCAAGAAGAACUCAUGAACCUCAAAAUAGAAACAAGGUACCAAUAACUUACCUUCAAUUUUCCUCCUCCUAAUGGCCGAAUACUCAAGAGCUUUCUCCUCUCCUUUCUCUUCUCUAACUUUCAGCUAUGAUGAACAAAGAUGGACAAAACUUUGUUCUUUUCACCCC